GAUGAACGCUGGCGGCGUGCCUAAUACAUGCAAGUCGAACGCAUUGAGAGAAGUGCUUGCACUUUUCAAUUUGAGUGGCGAACGGGUGAGUAACACGUGGGCAACCUACCUGAUAGCGGGGGAUAACGAGUGGAAACAUUCGCUAAUACCGCAUAACAAUAGAGAAGGCAUCUUCUUUAUUUAAAGGGCGCUUUCAAGCGUCACUAUCAGAUGGGCCCGCGGUGCAUUAGUUAGUUGGUGGGGUGAAGGCCUACCAAGACGAUGAUGCAUAGCCGAGUUUACAGACUGAUCGGCCACAUUGGGACUGAGACACGGCCCAAAAGCCUACGGGAGGCUGCAGUAGGGAAUCUUCCACAAUGGACGAAAGUCUGAUGGAGCAACGCCGCGUGUGUGAUGAAGGCUUUCGGGUCGUAAAGCACUGUUGUAUGGGAAGAAAUGCUAGGCUAGGAAAUGAGCUUAGUUUGACGGUACCAUACCAGAAAGGGACGGCUAAAUACGUGCCAGCCGCCGCAGUAA
rnacentral:rRNA from 1 species